CUCCACUGCCAAAAAUUCCCGCCCCUUGUAUGGGUGACUCUUGUUUCCCAGUGUCCACCUGCUCAGCUCAGCUUCACUCAGCCCUCCUCAGAUACUAAUUGUAUGGGGAGGUAAACACAGCAGUCAAGUGGAGAGGACGGCGAGUCAAGCGUGAAUAUCAAUCUCCCCACAUCAGAUCAUCAUUGGAUGACUUUGACUGAGUUGAGGCGUCUCAUUAGAGGCGGCGGCGGCUUCGGCGGCGGCUUCGGCGACGGCGGCAUCCAGAGCUCCUGCAGCAUUCAGCUGGCGUCCCGAGCAGGAGAAAAGGCAAACAGGCAGCGGGCGGGAGAAUAGAGACAGAUUGACUGGACAGUGCAGGUGCUUCAAAGACCAUUUUGGCAGCGACACUGAUUCCUCAGACUGAACACCAAGUGAGCCAAUGAGAUGAAUGAACUGAGCGGCGUCGGAUGCUGCAGGUCUGUAGUCAGCUCCGCCUCAUCUGCGCCUGCCGCUGCCACACAUCACGUCAGGAAUCUGAUGAACUGUGCCGACCUCAGAUUAACCUCCCGCGACCGCUUUCUUUUUCCGCAAUCCCACACCAUCACCGGAGGUUCCAGAAGAUCAAGCGUGAAGCGGAAGAGAGAUAGCGGAUAACAAGGCGGCGUCGCACGCCAACCGCCGGGGAUGAAGUGUCGGGGACGCGGUGGAGCGCGCGAAGGAAAACAUGUCAGCACGAGGGAGAAGGACAACUGUAAGGACACUAUUGAAGGAGCAGAAAACCCAGCACAGCCCUGCAGGAAUUGGACGAGAAAGAUUCGGGAGGCGCGGUGGCGCUCGGCAGCCGGCUGCGGAGGAGCGGGCGGGCGAGUCGGGAGAAGGAGCGGAGCGAAACAGCGGGCAUUAAAAGAGAAGAGGUGUGAAAUUGAAACCAAUAAAUCCAGAACAGACUCCUACAGUUGUGGGAGCCACAGCGACCGUAACACUUGGCCUCACCAGUGUUCUCCUUUUUAAUUUGAGCCGAGCCCGCCGUCGUCUGGAGCCGCGUCGGGCCUUGGCAAACGCUCGUGUUCGACGAGACUGGGAGCUGUGUCUUAC